CAAUCAUUUUUUAGAUGUCAACAUCGCGACCAUAUUAUUGUGUGAAGGAGAAUAUGAACUUCUUAUAGGAAAAAUGUAAAAUAUUACUUGGGCAUCAAAUCGAAUCGGACUUUUUUUGGACGAUAGUUUUCAUCAUUCAUAACUAUAUUGUGGCUGAUUUUUUUGGAAUCGAAUAGGUUUAGAAUGUUAUUGCGGAAAAUUCUCAUAAAACAAACUUACGGAAACGAUACUAAAAUGGAUCUAAUUGGAGGUGCUAAUUUUUUGAAGAACUUUAUCGAAGACACCGAAAUUACGGUAUCAACGCAAGGUCGCAUAAUUCACACAAUCCAGGAUUGGGAGGAUAAUUCCCCCGCUGAAAUGUCUUCGUCAAGUGACGACAGCGGCAAGGAAAGCCCGGACGAAAAUCAGGAAUUACUAACCGAUGGAAAGAAGUUUUUGGCCGAGCGAGCUCAUUCAGCACUAUUACGAUUGGCUCAGUGCAAUGGCCGGCAGCAAAAAGAACGCCUUCGGGCUUUGUUUUAUGUUGCAGGAUGUUCUACCAGUGAUGUAAAUAGAUUUAGAUUAUAAAUAGUCAAGAAGGUACCAUGUGUUGGUGGAUCAAAUAGUCCAAAGGGCAAUUUCAUAUAGCAAGAAUUGGAUUCUCUGUUUCAAAUUGGAUGUCGAUGUUAAGAAUUAGUUUUUCUCAACUCGCCCUUUCAAUAUUUUCUAACUUUAGACGAUAAGUUUUUGUAAUACAAUUUUCUUUUCUUUUAAUAUCGUUUUCCGUUAAAUUGAAUUAUGAAAUUUGUUACAAUUAAUAAAAAUUGG